rnacentral:rRNA from 1 species
AGUGAACGCUGGCGGUAGGCCUAACACAUGCAAGUCGAACGGCAGCACAGUAAGAGCUUGCUCUUACGGGUGGCGAGUGGCGGACGGGUGAGGAAUACAUCGGAAUCUACUUUUUCGUGGGGGAUAACGUAGGGAAACUUACGCUAAUACCGCAUACGACCUACGGGUGAAAGCAGGGGAUCUUCGGACCUUGCGCGAUUGAAUGAGCCGAUGUCGGAUUAGCUAGUUGGCGGGGUAAAGGCCCACCAAGGCGACGAUCCGUAGCUGGUCUGAGAGGAUGAUCAGCCACACUGGAACUGAGACACGGUCCAGACUCCUACGGGAGGCAGCAGUGGGGAAUAUUGGACAAAGGGCGCAAGCCUGAUCCAGCCAUACCGCGUGGGUGAAGAAGGCCUUCGGGUUGUAAAGCCCUUUUGUUGGGAAAGAUAAGCAGCAGGUUAAUACCCCGCUGUUCUGACGGUACCCAAAGAAUAAGCACCGGCUAACUUCGUG